GAUGAAGAACGUAGCGAAAUGCGAUAAGUAGUGUGAAUUGCAGAAUUCAGUGAAUCAUCGAAUCUUUGAACGCACAUUGCGCCCUUUGGUAUUCCUUAGGGCAUGCCUGUUCGAGCGUCACUACACACCUUAUCACAAUAUUUGUGGUCUUGGCAGGAGUGAAUUGCUGGUCUAUGGAAGUAUUCCAGCAGUACACAAUGCUAAAAAAUAUGGGAAGGUUACCAGAUAUGAACAACAGACUUUGUAAAUGGUUGUAGGACCUAGAUCAGUCACAAGUCAUGUCUGGUCCCUUACCUUAAGGACCCCCAUCCUAGAUGAACUAUGGGUUGACCUCGGAUCAGGUAGGAAUACCCGCUGAACUUAAGCAUAUCAUAAGCGGAGGA
rnacentral:misc_RNA from 1 species